AACAACCACAGUAUACUUAUUUAUACUGAAUAAAUGAGAUAUUGGUCAUUACUAUUGUAAACUCAGUGUUUUUAAAAGGAAUCUUUACUUUGCACAAAAUCCAAAUACUUCCACUUGUUUUGCACAAUGCAAACCCCCUUCCCUCAGCACAUUCUCCUACAGAGCACCAGAAUUAAACAUUAACAGCCUUGUUGUUCUCUUUUAGCCCUUCACCUCCACUGCAGCUCGUGAGCAGGACAUUUUGUUUGUGCUACCAGAAGACCUGAGGAUCAGCACCGUGUGACAUCACAGAAUGUGCAAACAAGCUUAUCGCUGUUUUUCUAUUCCUGCGUGAAGGUUGUGUGCAAAAUGGGAGUCAGACAGAGGGGGUUUUCUGAAUUCUGAAUUUUCUGUAUUUUUAUUGGCUCAGGUCUGAGAAUAUAAUGCAAGACAGAAGCAGGGUCAGUAAACAGAGGCCCUAGUGAUUUAUAUUACUAGAGAAAUGCACAGUCUAAGAAGGUGAAGAAGGUCUUGUACUGGAAGUCUGUCGAGUUAGUGGGUUAGUGGAGAUUAAUUAAUGACUGCAUUAACAUGGGGGGGUACACAUUAACGUCCACCCUGCAUCUGCGAGAGCUGACGUAAUCGGAAGAGUGAUGUGACGUCUCUAUAAAAGCUAAGAAAGGUCAGUUGAGCAACAGCGGUCCAUGUGGGACAUCACUGGAUGCUGAGCACGUUGUUAAGGAUGUUAGAACACUUCUUUAUUCAAUGAUCCCGGUAACGCUUACUCAGCAAGGCAUGUGAUCCCUUUCCAGAACUUUCCAACUGACUGCGUCUCAGUGGAGGAUGAACUUCCAGCCUCAGCAGAAUCUGAAGACCCACCUCUUCCAUGAACACUUAACUCACCACCCCAACUAGCUCUUACCCCUCUCUUACCCAUCUGUGGAUUUUGCUCCUCUGUAACUCAAUUAAAAAUCUUGUAUGGUUGCAGUAGCUCCUCAUUUGUAAGUUACUUUAGAUUAAAAUUAAAAGAUUUCACAUUCUCAUUUGUAAAUGUCCGUGUGUGUGUGUAGGAAGGGUGGGGUAAUGCUUGGUAAAAGUCCAUUAGAAGACUGUUUUUCAGCCACGUUCUUCUUGUUUCUGGACUCCUGUAGCAUCUACAUGAUGGUAGGAGUCUGAAUAAGCUGUGGUAUUAUUAUAAUAAGCUAUUGUUACAGACUCUCCUGAUAACCUUGACCUUCCAGGGGAAUCAAAGCAUAACCAGAUGUGGGGGACACAGUGGACAGGGUACACACACAUCACUGGGCACAAUCACACACACUAUGCGAAUCAGUGCAGGCCUGGGGGACGAAACCAGAAAAUAGAGAAAACUGGAAGAAAACCCCAAAGGCACAAGGGAUCAAACCCCCAACCUAGCUUUACCUGAACUAAUCAACUUCAGUUAGGCUGAUAACUCUAGAGAUGCUAGCAGGAUUAACAAGCUAAUUCUCAAGGCUGGCUCUAUCAUUGGACACAAACUGGAGAUGUUUGAAUCAUUAAGGAACAGGAGGUCACUGAACAAACUGGACAAUCCAUCUCACCUACUCUACAACACACUACAGAGUGAGAGUAGCUGAUUCUCCAAAAGACUGGGGUUUUUACAGAGAAUAUGUAACCAUACGUUAUCAUACACACCAUUCACAAUAACAUUGUACAAUAGUUCACCUGUGUGUGACCGGUGAUAACACUCUCACACUGCACUAUUACAACCAUUAACACUUUUCUAGACUCUCAAGGUUUUUCAUAUUCAUUAUAUAUUGAUAUAGUUUACACAUGUGUACUGUGAUGUAAAUGCAGGAGAAUAUGUAGGCAUGCAGUCCCAGUCCCAGUUCAGGUUAUUUGGGUCUUUUGCUGGUAUAUGUCAUGCUCCUGGCUGGCUCGCCACUAAAAUAUGGUUAAAUCCACAACUGUGUUUCAUAUCUGCACUACUACCUUUAAUUUCACUUAUUAUAUUCUAAAUUUAAGGUUUCUUAUAUUUUAGUGUGUGUGUGUGUGUGCUGUAUCUUGUAACUGACUAAGCUGCUGUAACACAAGGAUUUCCCUUGUGGGAUCAAUAAAGUCUAUCUAUCUAUCUG